rnacentral:rRNA from 1 species
UGGGGAAUUUUUCGCAAUGGGGGAAACCCUGACGAAGCAACGCCGCGUGGAGGAUGAAGGCCCUCGGGUCGUAAACUCCUGUCAAUCGGGAAGAAGGCGUCCGGCUCAAUAGGUCGGGUUGUUGACUGUACCGGUGAAGGAAGCUCCGGCUAACUCUGUGCCAGCAGCCGCGGUAAUACAGAGGGAGCAAGCGUUGUUCGGAAUUACUGGGCGUAAAGGGCGCGUAGGCGGCCUGACAAGUCUCGCGUGAAAUCCCCCGGCUCAACUGGGGAACUGCGCGGGAAACUGCCGGGCUUGAGUUCGGGAGAGGGAAGCGGAAUUCCGGGUGUAGCGGUGAAAUGCGCAGAUAUCCGGAGGAACACCAGUGGCGAAGGCGGCUUCCUGGACCGACACUGACGCUGAGGCGCGAAAGCUAGGGUAGCAAACGGGAUUAGAUACCCCCGUAGUCC